rnacentral:rRNA from 1 species
UACGUAGGGUCCGAGCGUUGUCCGGAAUUACUGGGCGUAAAGUGUGCGCAGGCGGCCGCGCAAGUCGAGUGUGAAAGCCCCGGGCUUAACUUGGGAAUUGCGCUGGAAACUACGUGGCUGGAGUGUGGCAGAGGAAGGUGGAAUUCCACGUGUAGCGGUGAAAUGCGUAGAUAUCUGGAGGAAUACCGGUGGCGAAGGCAGGUCUCUGGGCUGACACUGACGCUCAUGCACGAAAGCGUGGGGAGCAAACAGG